AGGAUUUUGAGUAAGAGACUGGCUUUUGCAGGAGCAUUUCAAAUCAAAAGCUGUCAUCUAAUGAAAGCCAUAUGGUUUAGGAAGCUGAUGAAUCAUGGAGAGGCUGGUGUUUUAAAAACGUGCUCGGUGU